rnacentral:lncRNA from 1 species
UGGGAUGCGUGUCCCAGUGCACGUCAGAGACCUGCGUCAGGACAGUUGCCUGUUGUUCACAGAGUGGCUUUAGCAGGGAUGGGGAUGAUACAGCUCUGAGUGGUUUCCUGCCAGACACCGAACUUCAUACAGGAUCAUCUAGAAGACUGAGGCUUGCUUCUUGACGUGUUCAUGAGGGCAUUUCAAAAGGGCUGAAAAUGUGGCUGGGAUCCUACGAGAAUCCGAUGAAGUCGAACAAGACAGCGAGCUGAAGACCAGCAUCCGGCCUUUCCUGGCCCAGGAUGACAGGAAUUGUUCUGCUGUAGCUCAUUUUCCCUGCCCAGAUGGACAGAUCCUCUGGAAGUGUGGGCUGACACUAAUCUGCCCCCAUUAAGGUGUUGGCCACAAUACACUUAAGGUAUUGUGUGUAUAAAGUAUAUACAGCAACACAAAAGUAAC